GUGUGUGUGUGUGUGUGUGUGUGUGUGUGUGUGUGUGUGUGUGUGUGUGUGUGUGUGUGUGUGUGUGUGUGUGUGUGUGUGUGUGUGUGUGUGUGUGUGUGUGUGUGUGUGUACACUGCAUUCAAAAGCUCCUUUCACUUUCCGUAGGAUUUAGCAAAACGUGUUCCCUCACCAAAACGCAACCUGUGCUUUUGACGCUUUUUAAUUCGUUGUACACACAGAUGCUUUCAGUGUUACAGUUUCAGAGCCAAGCUUUACCCACAAUGCUCCACUCUUCUGUGACCGACGUGAACCCACAUCACAUGCAAAUGCCACCAUUUCAAGAUGAAAUAGAAGUCAAACAUACAGGAUCCAUUCCGUUCAUCUCAUUUCAACAUGUUGCCUUACUUGAAUUGUUGUUAAUAAUUUCAGAUCAUUGUACAGAGCUGCUUGUGUCACGCUUUAAACAUAUAUACACAUACACAUACACACACACAGGCCGAGACACACUCCAACAACCACUCAGACCCCGCUGCAGUGUUUUCCUUCCUGAUAGUGCUGCUAGAGCACUCCGGUCAUAGCUGUAUCCUGAUUUUUCCUCUCCAGAUUGCACGUGCAGAGUUAAAGAACAUCAGAUUACGAACUACAGUAAGUAUGAUGCUGAAGCUUUGAUUAUAUUAUCCUGUUUUGCUUUAUUUAUUUUUUCCCUAUCAUUCCGUGUUUACCCUGGCUUGAGCGUCUUAUCCCAUGAAGGUGAAUGAUUUCGCUGAAACUGUGAAAGAAAGUGAAACCUUUGGGUCCAACCGUGCUUCCUGGGGAUGAUCAGAGCAGCCUUUGCUUACAUUUGACUUUUGAAAUAGCUGCAUCCCACCUCUAACGUAAUGCUCUUUUUUUCUGUCCAUAUAUUAUGAUGCUCAUUGAUAUACAUAUGCUAAUACAGCUCAGACAAACCCCUUGUGCUUGCUAUGAUCUGUACACAGGAGAGCGCUGGCUGUGUUUUACUUGAACUUGAAGAGUGUUUCUGAAUGAGAGCACGUUGUGAAGCUCUGAGUGAUGGGAGAGGAUUAAAACCAUGAGCCAAGUGAAAUAAAGGUCAUGAAUGAGGGUAGUUUGCUUUGACUUUGUUUGUGUAUACACCCUGACUCUUAAAACUGGCAUUCCUGUAUCUGAUGUGGCGACCAGGCCUCUGACAUUAGUCCUCUUCCUUGGAAUUGAAUAAAUUAUUUUGUUAUUAUUUGUAUUAUGUUGCCUUUAAUGCUCCAGGAGGUGUUGCUUCAAGCUGUGGCAUGUAGCCUUGUUUGCUUACUUGCCAUCCUGCCCUCCCCAUUUGCUGCUGUUUGUAAAAUGCCCCCUUGUGUUUUCAGAAAGAGUUUGGAGCGCGGCUGACAUUACUCCUUCAUGUGUCAGAAGUUGCAGAAAAUGUGAAGCUAGACCUCUAAGCAACACAAAUCUGGCAGGAUAUCAAGCACAUGAUGUACAAUUGUCUGUGUAUGUGUGUAUAUUAUUCAAAUUGAAACCAUUGUUAUUAUUAUUACUGCGAGGAGUUUGUUUUACAGCCAAAGCAUGUAACAUGUUGCUUUAAGCCUUCUGAAAGGACUACACAAGACUUGACUGUACGAUGUCUACAUUUCCACAGUGGCCUGUUAUUGAAAUAUUAAAAAAAGAACUAAUAAAGUUAUGAUUUGUAGCCUGAUUCCCUCUGUACAGAUGUCAUGACUAUAUUGAAAUAUAUAUAUAUAUUUAACACAAACGUGAGUUCUAACAGUCACGUGGAUGCUUGGGGCAUACGUGUACAAAAUGCUGAGCGUGUAUUGUACUUAUGAUUUCAUUUUUUAAUGGUUUACUUUUGUUGCGUUAAGACAACUGAUGUAUUAAACUUUGCAAGCAGAACCGUA